GAUCCGAUGGCACAACGGUUAGUGCAUCUGCUAUGCAUGGGCCGACCACGAUCAUUCUUCAGCAGAAGGUCCCCGUUCGACUCGGGGUCGGGUCA